GACGAACGCUGGCGGCGCGCUUAACACAUGCAAGUCGAGCGAUGAAAUCUUAACAGAACCUUUCGGGGCGAAGAUAAGACGGAUUAGCGGCGGACGGGUGAGUAACACGUGAGUAACCUGCCUUUUACACAGGGAUAGCCUCGGGAAACCGGGAUUAAAACCUGAUGAAACUAUCAAAUCACAUGAUUAAGAAAGUUAAAACUCCGGUGGUAAAAGAUGGACUCGCGUCCCAUUAGCUAGUUGGUGAAGGUAACGGCCCACCAAGGCAACGAUGGGUAGCCGGCCUGAGAGGGUGAACGGCCACAUUGGAACUGAGAAACGGUCCAAAUUCCUACGGGAGGCAGCAGUGGGGAAUAUUGCACAAUGGGGGAAACCCUGAUGCAGCGACGCCGCGUGAGCGAAGAAGGCCUUCGGGUCGUAAAGCUCUUUUAUAUGGGAAGAUAAUGACGUACCAUAA
rnacentral:rRNA from 1 species